rnacentral:rRNA from 1 species
UACGAAGGGAGCUAGCGUUGUUCGGAAUCACUGGGCGUAAAGCGCACGUAGGCGGAUGUGUCAGUCAGGGGUGAAAUCCCGGAGCUCAACUUCGGAACUGCCUUUGAUACAGCACGUCUUGAGUCCGAUAGAGGUGGGUGGAAUUCCUAGUGUAGAGGUGAAAUUCGUAGAUAUUAGGAAGAACACCGGUGGCGAAGGCGGUUCUCUGGGACGGUACUGACGCUGAGACGCGAAAGCGUGGGGAGCGAACAGG